rnacentral:tRNA from 1 species
GCGCGGGUGGUGAAAUUGGCAGACACGCCACCUUGAGGUGGUGGUGCCCGCAAGGGCUUGCAGGUUCAAAUCCUGUCCCGCGCACCA